GUUGUCUCUCUGGCCAACAUUCAAGUACCAAUCUUGCUGGGAGAGGUGGUGAAUGUGGUGGCCAGGUUUACCAGCGAGGCAGCAAGGGAGGGAAGGAGUUUCCCCCAGGAAAUUGCUGCCCCUGUGCUCAAACUAGUAAAGUAUUAUUUCAUUCAGGCUGCCUUCACCCUCUCCUACAUUUCCUUCCUGACACGCAUGGGAGAGCGGAUUGCAGAUGACCUUCGGAAGCAGCUGUUUGCCACACUCCUCAAGCAGGACAUGGCCUUUUAUGACCAACACAAAACUGGUGAACUAGUCAACAGACUGACUGCAGAUGUACAGGACUUCAAGAGUUCCUUUAAACUUUGCAUAUCACAAGGAAUGCGCAGUGUUACUCAGGUGAGUGAAGUUACAUGACAGAUGUCUUAUGAGUACAUAAAGAUCUGACCGUUUAUUUCUUAUAUUUUGAUAUUUCUUCCUCCUCUUCCUUCUCUCCCUCAUCCUAAAGGU